CAGCGGCGGACGGGUGAGUAACACGUGGGUAACCUGCCUGUAAGACUGGGAUAACUCCGGGAAACCGGGGCUAAUACCGGAUGCUUGAUUGAACCGCAUGGUUCAAUCAUAAAAGGUGGCUUUUAGCUACCACUUGCAGAUGGACCCGCGGCGCAUUAGCUAGUUGGUGAGGUAACGGCUCACCAAGGCGACGAUGCGUAGCCGACCUGAGAGGGUGAUCGGCCACACUGGGACUGAGACACGGCCCAGACUCCUACGGGAGGCAGCAGUAGGGAAUCUUCCGCAAUGGACGAAAGUCUGACGGAGCAACGCCGCGUGAGUGAUGAAGGUUUUCGGAUCGUAAAACUCUGUUGUUAGGGAAGAACAAGUACCGUUCGAAUAGGGCGGCACCUUGACGGUACCUAACCAGAAAGCCACGGCUAACUACGUGCCAGCAGCCGCGGUAAUACGUAGGUGGCAAGCGUUGUCCGGAAUUAUUGGGCGUAAAGCGCGCGCAGGCGGUUUCUUAAGUCUGAUGUGAAAGCCCCCGGCUCAACCGGGGAGGGUCAUUGGAAACUGGGGAACUUGAGUGCAGAAGAGGAGAGUGGAAUUCCACGUGUAGCGGUGAAAUGCGUAGAGAUGUGGAGGAACACCAGUGGCGAAGGCGACUCUCUGGUCUGUAACUGACGCUGAGGCGCGAAAGCGUG
rnacentral:rRNA from 1 species